UGGGGAAUAUUGCACAAUGGGCGCAAGCCUGAUGCAGCCAUGCCGCGUGUAUGAAGAAGGCCUUCGGGUUGUAAAGUACUUUCAGCGGGGAGGAAGGUGUUGAGGUUAAUAACCUCAGAAAUUGACGUUACCCGCAGAAGAAGCACCGGCUAACUCCGUGCCAGCAGCCGCGGUAAUACGGAGGGUGCAAGCGUUAAUCGGAAUUACUGGGCGUAAAGCGCACGCAGGCGGUCUGUCAAGUCGGAUGUGAAAUCCCCGGGCUCAACCUGGGAACUGCAUUCGAAACUGGCAGGCUAGAGUCUUGUAGAGGGGGGUAGAAUUCCAGGUGUAGCGGUGAAAUGCGUAGAGAUCUGGAGGAAUACCGGUGGCGAAGGCGGCCCCCUGGACAAAGACUGACGCUCAGGUGCGAAAGCGUGGGGAGCAAACA
rnacentral:rRNA from 1 species